CCCCCAUUGCCAUACCUACAUCUACCACGUACCUUAGCAUCUUGACACUUGUAUAACGCGUCAAUUAAGGGAGAGACAAAACAAACCACCUAGGCUUCAAGAAUUAGUGCCUUUAACAACAUUGAGUACACCCACCUAAAUCCUAUACAACUAGUGUUGAACAUGCAUUUUUUUUGUAAAACUGUGUCGAAAUGCAUCAUAGAGCUGGAAGAAAACCAUUCUUCAGGUACCAUAACAUGUUAUUUGAAC
rnacentral:lncRNA from 1 species